AUUGAACGCUGGCGGCAGGCCUAACACAUGCAAGUCGAACGAGUGGCGGACGGGUGAGUAAUGUCUGGGAAACUGCCCGAUGGAGGGGGAUAACUACUGGAAACGGUAGCUAAUACCGCAUACCAUCGGAUGUGCCCAGAUGGGUUGAACUAGUAGGUGGGGUAACGGCUCACCUAGGCGACGAUCCCUAGCUGGUAUGAGAGGAUGACCAGCCACACUGUAACGUGGGCACGCGCCAGACUCCUACGGGAGGCCGCAGUGGGGAAUAUUGCACAAUGGGCGCAAGCCUGAUGCAGCCAUGCCGCGUGUAUGAAGAAGGCCUUCGGGUUGUAAAGUACUUUCAGCGAGGAGGCGUUACUCGCAGAAGAAGCACCGGCUAACUCCGUGCCAGCAGCCGCGGUAAUAC
rnacentral:rRNA from 1 species